rnacentral:lncRNA from 1 species
GCAUAGGGGACAUAGAAUUGAGCACUGUUGGGAGGGAAAGUCCUUUCCCUGGUCUUAUGUUUUUGUGUUGAAGGACCUCCAUUGAAAUACAACUCUUGGCCUGUAGUCUCACUCCUCACACACUCCUUCCAGCAGAGAAAUCAAAUACCUAAUGGCGAGGUGGUGACGGGGUGCUAAUUGGGUAGAACAACUCUAUCAAAGGACUGUAAACUUCCCAUUUUCCUCCCUAGAGACAGCUCCAGACUUUCCUUUGGGUGGAGAGGGAGGCUUUGGAUGUGUAUUCGGACAGAGGAGAGAGUUGGCAGUCACGGAGUAUUAAUAGGAUCUUUGGUUCACAAACCUAAUGUCAUUUUCUCCAAUUAGUUUAUCAAUAAUAAAGCUGACAGUUUAACCUCUGUCUGUCUACUGAUCUGUGUUUUAUUUUUCAACUGCUUCUGAACUCAGGAGUAGAAGAAAUAGGCAACUUAUACUGAAUGCCUAAAAUUUUUAAGAGGCAUACAUGUGUAGUAUUUUAGAUUUGUGGCUUUUUUUUUUUUGGUGAAAGUAAAGUGGGGCAUGAGCCACCACACUGGGCCUAUACUUCUCUUAAUUCAGUCUAAGAUGAUACUGACAUUUAUUUGAAGUUAAGUCACAUUGUUAUGUCUAUAAACUUAGCAUAAAUGAAAACUCUGAACUAAGAUUUUUCGAUCUGGUUUGGAAGUGAAGGUUAGAGCAGUCAAGGAUAUGGAAGAUACAUGAGCUGAGGGUUAAACAGAUCUGGAUUAUGCACAAGAGGGUCAAAUAGCUCUAGGUAAGAAAAAUAAGAACAGAAGGGGACUGAGUCAUUGAUUUUAAUGAAAUAAUGAACGCAUUUUGAACUUCGCUUUUUUUCUCUGUCAUUGACAAUGAAAAUCAGACACGUUACUAUGGGAAAAUAGCUAAUCUUAACUCUUUUUAAUUUCCAAUUUUUCACAUAAACAAAGGUAUACAUGACUUGCAGAAAGGGAAAUAUGAACUUUGAUUUUCAUAUUUUAUUUAUACAGGCAACGUCUGAAAUCUUUCCAUGAUUUGGUGUUGUGGGAGGCUGAAAAACCAUCAUUUGUUCCAACAUAUUGCUCAACUUGUCUUUUCAAAAUUCCCAUGAUGAUUGUCUUCUGUGGUUAGGACUGGAUGACAUUUGGAGUUUCUGCUUCAAAAAUGUCAAAAUAGAGUAUACCUAAGCUUUUACAUCUCACCUUGUAAAUACACUACAUCCUGGUUUUACUGUUCUUAAGUAAACAUCUUUCUAGGCACUUA